GCCUGCCCAGUGACCAUGUGUUCAACGGCCGCGGUAUUCUGACCGUGCAAAGGUAGCGUAAUCACUUGUCUUUUAAAUAAAGACUAGUAUGAAUGGCAUCACGAGAGUUCAACUGUCUCCCACACCCAAUCAGUGAAACUGAUCUCCCCGUGCAGAAGCGGGGAUAAAACCAUAAGACGAGAAGACCCCAUGGAGCUUUAAACUAAAGGCACUAGCCCCUAACUCACCCCCCAGGGCAAAACAUUUUUAACCGGCUAAAGUGACCUGUCGUUUUCGGUUGGGGCGACCACGGAGAAAAACAAAUCCUCCGAGAUGAAGGGGAUAACCCUUAGCCAAGACCAACAAUUCUAAGCAAUAGAACGUCUAACGCACUGAUCCAAUCAAAUUGAUCAACGAACCAAGUUACCCUGGGGAUAACAGCGCAAUCUAUUUUCAGAGUUCAUAUCGACAAAUAGGUUUACGACCUCGAUGUUGGAUCAGGGCCUCCUAGCGGUGCAGCCGCUGCUAAGGGUUCGUUUGUUCAACGAUUAAAGCCCUA
rnacentral:rRNA from 1 species